GAUGAACGCUGGCGGCGUGCCUAAUACAUGCAAGUCGAGCGAACAGACGAGGAGCUUGCUCCUCUGACGUUAGCGGCGGACGGGUGAGUAACACGUGGAUAACCUACCUAUAAGACUGGGAUAACUUCGGGAAACCGGAGCUAAUACCUGAUAAUAUAUUUAACCGCAUGGUUCAAUAGUGAAAGACGGUUUUGCUGUCACUUAUAGAUGGAUCCGCGCCGCAUUAGCUAGUUGGUAAGGUAACGGCUUACCAAGGCAACGAUGCGUAGCCGACCUGAGAGGGUGAUCGGCCACACUGGAACUGAGACACGGUCCAGACUCCUACGGGAGGCAGCAGUAGGGAAUCUUCCGCAAUGGGCGAAAGCCUGACGGAGCAACGCCGCGUGAGUGAUGAAGGUCUUCGGAUCGUAAAACUCUGUUAUUAGGGAAGAACAAAUGUGUAAGUAACUAUGCACGUCUUGACGGUACCUAAUCAGAAAGCCACGGCUAACUACGUG
rnacentral:rRNA from 1 species